rnacentral:rRNA from 1 species
GUAGGGGGCAAGCGUUGUCCGGAAUCAUUGGGCGUAAAGCGCGCGUAGGCGGCCCGGUAAGUCCGCUGUAAAAGUCCAGGGCUCAACCCUGGAAUGCCGGUGGAUACUGCCGGGCUAGAGUCCGGAAGAGGCGAGUGGAAUUCCUGGUGUAGCGGUGGAAUGCGCAGAUAUCAGGAGGAACACCGAUAGCGAAGGCAGCUCGCUGGGACGGUACUGACGCUGAGGCGCGAAAGCGUGGGGAGCGAACAGGAUUAGAUACCCUGGUAGUCCACGCCGUAAACGAUGGGCACUAGGUGUGGGAGGUGUCGACUCCUCCCGUGCCGGCGCUAACGCAUUAAGUGCCCCGCCUGGGGAGUACGGCCGCAAGGCUAAA